rnacentral:misc_RNA from 1 species
CGACACGUCGGGAUUGGCGGCUGCAGCCAGGGGUCCUCCGACGCUGGGCUUCCGUGAGCGGCGCUCUGCCAGAUCUCUGGACCGGAUUCGUCCCAUUCUCGUCCUCAUGGUGGACAAGAAACUGGUGGUGGUUUUCGGAGGCACAGGUGCCCAGGGUGGCUCCGUGGCCCGCACACUCCUGGAAGAUGGGACAUUCAAGGUUCGAGUGGUGACCCGAAACCCUAGGAAGAAGGCAGCAAAGGAGCUGAGGCUGCAAGGUGCAGAAGUAGUGCAGGGAGACCAAGAUGACCAGGUCAUCAUGGAGCUGGCCCUGAAUGGGGCUUACGCCACCUUCAUCGUGACCAAUUACUGGGAGAGCUGCAGCCAGGAGCAGGAGGUCAAGCAGGUGUUCCUGGGCUUGUGGCCACAAAGCUCCAAUCUCCGCUUCCCUCUUCGCAUGGCCUUCUCCAGGUGUUGUCUCUUCUCCCGUCUCUUAUAAGUACCCUGGUUACUGGAUUUAGCGCCUAUCUAGUUAGUGCAGGAUGUUCCCAUCUCAAGAUCCUUCACGUAAUUACAUCUGCCA